rnacentral:lncRNA from 1 species
GGCUUUGCUUAGGAUUGUAGAAAAUGAAAAGAAUCAAGUUGUAAUAAUCAUGUUAAAUCGGAUUGUAUUUGGAAGUUGAAUGUAAUAAGUAUUUGGGAUGUAAAAUGUAUGAAUGUGAAUGCUUGUAAUAACAAGUAGAUUAUGUUUUUGAUACUUCCUUAUGCAAUCUUUGAUUGAAAUGUGUUCCUUGUUGGAACUUUGUACAUUGUAU